GGAGUUGUGGCUCAGAGGUAGAGCACUUGCCUAGUAUGCUUGAGGCAAAACUGGGUUCGAUUCUCAGCACCA
rnacentral:tRNA from 1 species